UUUAUACUCCCUCCGUCCGGAAAAACUUGACCCUCAAAUGGAUGUAUCUAGCACCAAGUUAGUGCUAGAUACAUCCAUUUGAGAAACAACCUUGGGACAAGAUUUUUCAGACGGAGGGAGUAUUAU
rfam:Triticum urartu cultivar G1812 contig1241599, whole genome shotgun sequence.